rnacentral:snRNA from 1 species
GGAUGUGAGGGCCAUCAGGCUGUGACAUCUGUCACUCCAGUGAUCACCAGGGUUGAUUCAGCUGAUCUGACUGACUGGGUGGUUGUCCCCUUCCUCCUUCACUGCUCCACGUGUGUCCCUCCUGAAACUGUGUGCUCUGCUGAAAAAGGACGUCCUUCCCUGAUAGAAGAUUACUGUUCUUUAGUCAAGAAUACUUGAGUAACUGUGCUCUCUGCUAGAACCUUCAAAUAAGCUCUCAAAGUCUAUUUGUAGGAGAAGAUAGGGUAGUCAAGCUUCCAGAACUCCAGACAGAUCCAAUGAGGCGCCAGAAU